CCUACGGGGGGCUGCAGUGGGGAAUAUUGGGCAAUGGGCGCAAGCCUGACCCAGCAACGCCGCGUGAAGGAAGAAGGCUUUCGGGUUGUAAACUUCUUUUCUCAGGGACGAAGCAAGUGACGGUACCUGAGGAAUAAGCCACGGCUAACUACGUGCCAGCAGCCGCGGGAAUACGUAGGUGGCAAGCGUUAUCCGGAUUUACGUGGUGUAAAGGGCGUGUAGGCGGGAAAGCAAGUCAGAUGUGAAAACCAUGGGCUCAACCUGUGGCCUGCAUUUGAAACUGUUUGUCUUGAGUACUGGAGAGGCAGACGGAAUUCCUAGUGUAGCGGUGAAAUGCGUAGAUAUUAGGAGGAACACCAGUGGCGAAGGCGGUCUGCUGGACAGCAACUGACGCUGAGGCGCGAAAGCGUGGGGAGCAAACAGGAUUAGAUACCCCGGUAGUC
rnacentral:rRNA from 1 species